rnacentral:sRNA from 1 species
GGGUUAAAAAAAUUACUAAUUACUAAAAUUAACUAAUUACUAAAUUGAGGUUUAAAAAAAACAUCUACAAUUUGGUCUCAACAAGACAGCCAACAAAAAAGCCUCAGACAAAACAUGUUUUAACUUUUCGAACUGUGACUUCGAAAAAUUUUUUUAGUGUGAAUUGGCGAUCAUCUAAAUAUUUAUUUGGUGAAACGAAUGUGAAAAGGAAAACUAUUUUUGGCGAAACCCAUAAAACACCGGAUGUCAGCACAUCCCGGCACGGGAUAGCUGUGUGCACCACACAACUGGAACUUUGAGGUCCGAUCUCUGUGGUGAUCUUUGCUGCCACGAUAAGCUUAGCUGCGAGCUACCUGCCGCGUCCUCAGGUUGCGGAUAGUGGAAUGCUCCAUACGGUGUAGCUGCAAUGGCAGUCGAGGACAAUCAGCGGUAUCGAGCGAAGUCUCAGUGAGAGGUCGGGUGGCACCGAUAUGACAAAGUGAGUUAUGGGCGCCGUUAAAUAACCAAUGGCCACCCUAUUCCCGCGGAGAUCGUUCCUUUGGACCGGAACGAGCUUGCUCACCUACACAUAUUGUUCUGCGAUAGAUCAGGUGUGAUAUUACUUCUGCAUGUUGGCCUUAGCAUACUUGUUACGUGCUUCCUUUAUAUCUUCCUGAGCCAGGAAGAUAUAAAGGAAGAAUUACAAUAUAGUUCAUUUAUUAAUAAUAAAACGGAUGCAUUAAACAUCA